AGUGAACGCUGGCGGCAUGCUUUACACAUGCAAGUCGAACGGUAACGCGGGGCAACCUGGCGACGAGUGGCGAACGGGUGAGUAAUGCAUCGGAACGUGUCCGGUAGUGGGGGAUAACUGCUCGAAAGAGCAGCUAAUACCGCAUACGACCUGAGGGCGAGAGGGGGGGAUCGCAAGACCUCUCGCUAUUGCAGCGGCCGAUGUCGGAUUAGCGAGUUGGUGGGGUAAGGGCCCACCAAGGCGACGAUCCGUAGCUGGUCUGAGAGGACGACCAGCCACACGGGGACUGAGACACGGCCCAGACGCCUACGGGAGGCAGCAGUGGGGAAUUUUGGACAAUGGACGCAAGUCUGAUCCAGCCAUGCCGCGUGCGGGAAGAAGGCCUUCGGGUUGUAAACCGCUUUUGUCAGAGAAGAAAUCUUCUGGGUUAAUACCUCGGGAGGAUGACGGUAUCUGAAGAAUAAGCACCGGCUAACUACGUGCCAGCAGCCGCAGUAACAC
rnacentral:rRNA from 1 species